AGGACUUGGGCCAUCUUCUGCUGCUUUCCCAGGCCAUAGCAGAGAGCUGGAUAGGAAGUGGAGCAGCUGGGACUAGAACCGGCGCCCAUAUGGGAUGCCGGCGCUUCAGGCCAGGGCUUUAACCCACUGUGACACAGCGCCAGCCCCUCACAUUCUAAUUUUGAAAAGUGUUUUGUUCUUUUGGUGAGUCAUAGUGUCUUCCUUAUUCUUGUUUCUUGAAUUUCUGCAUUUAGUUUUAGGUAUUUGUAAAAUGUUUCCUUGUUUUGUUUUGUUUCAUUUUUCCUCUGAUGGCUUUUAUUUUGAUCUAGGCCUCUGAGGCUUAGUGGAAUGUCUACACUUUCAGUGAAUACCAAAAGGUCUUGAGCUCUGGUCAGUGCUCCAGGAUGGGGUGAGGAAGGUGAACUUCAGGAAGGUUAACAAAUGCACUCAGGACCCACAACAGACAGGGGCGAUGUUUUUGGGUAAAGGAGGUACAAGGUUAAAGAGUCUGUGCUCUAAAUUGGAAAUGUUUGGUUGAUGAUGAGCAAGAUCUCCAUGGGACCAUUCUUUCCUGGAGGCAGCCACUGAGCACCACAGUAACAGGCAAGGUUGCAGAGGGUGGUCUUCCUCCCAUUCAUCAAUGAGAGCAAUUCAUGAAGGUCAACAAUUCAGAACUAUAAACUGAUCUCCCUUUUCUUCUCUCCACCACUGUUUUCUCUUUGAGGGUAUUGAUAUUUAUAACUUUUAGCAAUUCAGAGACAGAAUGAAUCAGGAGAGUUUUUAGACUUGAGGAAUAAUUUUUUACCAAUCAGUGAGAUGAAGUCCUUGCAAGUUAUCAUGAGUUGAUGAUCCAUCAUCUUUGCUCAGAACUUUUAGAAGGCAUUUUGGCCCAUCUGAAUGUCCUCAAUUAGUAGAUUUAUGGAUUGCUUAUGUUUCCUCAUACCCAAAUGAAGACUGAAUACAGAAACUAGAUUAAAUAGAUGGUAGGGGUUUGUUAGGGACUAGUAACAGCUCCUUAUAAUAAAGUGUCAAAGAUAGAAUAUUGUCCGUGUUAUCCUUGUUCAUUUUGUUGUCUAUUUGGCUGAGUUACCAGAGGAUGACUAUUGAGAUCAGCUUAGAAGUUAAGUGUCAGACACUAAACCUGCUGAGAUUUCCAGUGUGAGGCUGAGUUAGGAAAACAAUGUGAAAUUGUACCACAUGACAGAAAGUUUAAUGGACAUGGAAUUCCAAGAUAGGGGUCUAAAUCAUUUUCUUUUUCUAUGAAUAUGCUUUAUAUACUUAUCUAUGGAUUCUGUUCUGGAUUCUAUCAUGUUGAUCAGAAAAUUACAUCAACAUGUUGUUGUUUUUAUCUACAUAGAAAAGAACAAUUGAUCUAUCUGUAAUUUUGUGCAGAUUUUGUGAAAUUAUAUUUUGGCAUAGGGAAGGGGUGCUUUGUAACAGAGGUCACUAUAUUUAUCAUCAUGAUUGCCUGCAAAUAUAGAAAAAGUUACUAUUGAUUGAGUCCUUACUAACUGACAGGCAUUGUUCUAGAAAGUCCUACGCAGAUAGUACAUGUUUUGUAAGAUUGUCUACCACCCCAUAUACUUUUUAACACAUUAGGAACCUGAAGUAAAGCCAGAGGUUUCAAAUGAAACAAUUUGAGAGUGAACUCCUAUUUGUCAGUCAAUGUAGAGAGCCAGAUUUGGAAGGCCUAUGGGGGUGGUUUAUCAACAACACCAACUGUUGCUUCUCAGUCUGACUGAUAACUGUAAUUCAGUUCCCUCAAAAAUUCAUCUUUGUGGCAAUGGCAUUUCAAUUAGGUUGUGACUAUGAAGAGAAAAAGUCAAAUUAAGGCUGACAGAUUUACCAAGAAGUGAGUGCUGAUGUUAUGUGUCUAUAACCUCCUCCUCGGUCCUAGUGCAGGCCACUGUCCUUCAUGUUUAGCCCCUCAGCAGCCUUCUUACCUCCAGUGUCACCCUGCCCCAAUUCACCCCUGGCAGCUGGGACCAGAGGCUCCAGUCUAAAAGAGAGAUCUGAAAGCAUGCCACUUCUCAGCUUAAACACCAGUUCUUGAGACCCUCAGCAACUAUACCAACUUUAAUUUCAAUUUUGUUUCCUUCCUACUUUUACCCAACAGCUGCCAUUUGUUUUGUACUUUGUAACAGCCUCUGUCAGGCUGUGUCAUUCCACAACUCUGUUCAUGCUUUUCCUCUUUGUGAAAUGCCUUUUCUCUCAUUCUUGGAAGGCAGCUGUGCUCACCACUCUACCAUCAACACUGCUUUUUCUCCCAUUCUUUUCAUUUAAAAAUGCUAUUGUCUCUUCAAGCCCAAGUUCAAAUAGUGCCUGUUCUGUGAGGGCUGCUCAAAUCCUGUCUGAUAGACCUGACGGUUCUCCCCUUUAGGUGCCUAUAGGAAAUUGCUCAUUGUGUUAUAAUGACAUUUAUCACCAUGAUAUCAUUUCUAGUCAUAUACUUAUCUGUUUUCUUUUCUCCUGAAAAUGAGCUUUUGGAGAGACAGUCCGUAUCUUGUUUGUAUAUGUGAGCCCAGUGCUUAGCACAGUGUCUGGUAUUCAGUGUGCAUCUAGGAAACGUUUGUUGAAUUGCAUCAAAGGACAAAACUACAUGCUUCUAAGCUUAUGCAGUUCUAAACCAGUAGACUAUCAUUUUUGUGUAAUUUCAUGCCAUGUACUAUUUUCCACUAGAGAAUAAAGAAAACAUUAUUUUUCUUUGUAAUAUAUAGUUUUAAAUUUGCAGAUUU